rnacentral:tmRNA from 1 species
GGGGAUGAAUGAUUCGACGAGAGAAGUACAUUAACAACUGCAAGCCGGCGAUGACAAAAGAGCCGUAAAACUUUGUUAAAAUUUAUCUGCUGAUAACUCAGACAGAAAACAGUCACUCCGUGAAGAACUCGCAGCUUUGCGAGCGCAUUUCGGUAUGACUCCUCGACAGUUUGCGUUCGCGUAAACAGUUCAGGCGUUUAGCGAUAAUUUUUCUCGGUGGAUUGCGCUAGGCGGAAACUUAGCCGGGACGUCAGGAAUCAAUUGACCGACUGAUUCCGGAGCAAAAAGGUCAAACCCGUCUGUACGUUUUGUCUGUUUUGAGUACUGACGGUCAUCAAAUAGACUACGCUUGUAGACGUUAUCAGUGUACUUCCUCGGACCCGAGCUCACUACUCGGCAUCUCCACCC